rnacentral:lncRNA from 1 species
CCAAACCAAGGAUUUAGUCAUGAUUUACGUAGAGAGAGAUCACCAAAAUAUGUUUGAUGGGUUUCAAUUUCUACUCUCAUCUAAUCCCCUUUCUUCUCAACAACCAAUGUUGUUACUUUUUUUCUUUUUCUUAUUCUUCUUUACUUUCACUAUCCUCUGUUUCUUAUUCUUCUUUAAUGUGGGGUGUUAUCGUCGUUGAAUCCUUUCAUGACUUGAGAUUUGGUUCGGCCGUUCCAGUCUCUUGAUGGCAGAUUUGUUUCUGUUAAAUUGGCUUUUCCCGGAUCUUGCAAAAAACAAGUGAAGGCAAUGCCAUUCAAAUUCCGAAUAGAAGAAGUCAGGCGAAAAAGGAAAGUUUGACCGUGACCAACUGAGGCAGCUAUGACAUACUUUCACUAUCCUCUGUUUCUUAUUCUUCUUCAACAUCAAUGGCUCUGUUCCUUAUGUCCUGCAUAUUAAAGAAAUCGGAAUGGGCUUUUUCUUUUUCUUUUUGAAGUAGAAUAUGAGUUUAACAUAGAUUUAUAAGGGGGUGUUUGGGUGUAAUUUUUUCAUGGUGCAGUUGGUAGCCAAUCAUUCGUACCAAGGUAACCAAUUCAGUUUUGUUAAGUUACUAAUUUUUUUUGAAUGUGAUACAAUUAGUAGUCAAACCUUCAUGAAAUUGGUUGCCAAACUUUUAGACCAAGGUAACAAAUUCAUACUGCAGGUGUUGAGACAGAUUAGGUUACGUUGGUAUAAAGGUUUGGUUACCUUGGUAUAAAUGUUUGGUUAUCUUGGUACGAAGGUUUGGUUAUCAAUAUUACAUUACACAUCACUCUCUUAUCUCUCUCUUUCCUAUGCAGUGUUCUAUUUUUUAUUUACCUUCAUGAAAUUGGUUGCCAAACUUUUAGACCAAGGUAACAAAUUCAUGUUGCAGGUGUGGAGGUAGAUUUGGUUACCUUGGUAUAAAGAUUUGGUUACAUUGGUAUAAAUGUUUGGUUACCUUGGUACGAAGGUUUGAUUAUCAAUAUUACAUUACACAUCACUCUCUUAUCUCUCUCUCUUUCCUAUGCAGUGUUCUAUUUUUUAUUGGUUACCUUGGUAUAAACGUGGACAUGGUUGUAGUAGAGAAAUGAGGUCGGAGCAGUGAAGGUUCAAGAGGAGGAGGAAGAGAGAGAAAAUGAUAAUGGCGAACAGAUGAGGACGAAGAAAUUGACGACGUGAUUUUUGAGUAUUUGGGUUAGUUGGUAACUGCCAAACUAAGUGGAGUAGUUUUCUCCUUGAAUUAAGGGUUUUCUUUUUUUGUUGCAUUGGAUAUAAUGACGUAUUUCACUAUUGUUGAUAUUAUUAUAUAGUUUUUCACUGUUAAUAUAAUUAUUUGGUUGAUGCACUAUUUUUGUAAUUAUUUUCUAUUUGUUGUAUGCUUAUUUAAAAAAUCCUUAAAAUUAUAGUUCUAUAAGAUCCUCUUUUAUAUGAGAUGGACUCCACUUACUAUUCAUAUAAAAAAGAAAAAUUUGCGAAAUUGUUAAUUUUAUUUAUAAAAAUAUCAAUUUUCUAUUUAAAAAUAUAGCUAAAAAGUAAUAAAUGAUGAGACAGUAAAUAAGAGAAU